CAAACCCUAUCAAAAGGGCCCAUGCCCAUGGUUGAAUACAUUGACCGCAAACGGUUAAUUGUCGACUCUCUAGCUGCAGAUAAUUACCCAGUUGAUAGUGAAGACUUAACUGCAUCUAUACUUUUCGGUCUCGAUGCAUCUUACGGUGCAUUCAACGCUGCAUUUAUGAUGAAAAGUGAAUGUGUCACUUGAUGAUCUCGUUGGUCUCUCCAAGAAGAAGCUCGCAUCGAACAAGAACAUCUUCGACAAGUCUCAAUCCAACCCACAUCUAUUGCUCUCUCAGUCCAACCCACAUCUACUGCUCUCUAUGUAAAUCGAUCAAAUCAACAGUCAUCAUCUCAAAGGCAAAACUCAAGCUCUUCUAGAAACAACGAUACCAGACGUCGCCGAACGGUGUGUCAAUUGUGUACCAAACCUGGUCACGAAGCCAUUGAUUGCUGUGUAACGCCCCGUUCUUAAAAUAUCUAUUGAUGGGUUCCCGAGAUCAAGAGUAAGAGCGUUUCGGUCUUUCAUGAGUGUUGGGUUAUUAUUCGGGAAGGUUUCGGAUCGGGGUGUUCUGCUAGAAGCGAAGAUCUUCUCGCCACCUUUCCAUGGAUAUAAACUUCAUCAGAAUCGGGUCUAGAAUGAAGGAGUUACGACACUUUGAAGAUUUGGCAAGAAUGGCCCUUAUAGAAACAAUUUUCAUGGAAGACAAUGCAAGCAUGCUGGGACACGCGUGGGUACGCACAGCGUAAGAUGGGUUAUGCCCAGCGGAAUGGGGGAAAUUGGACGCGGAUGUUCAAGGCGUACGCCCAGCUUACACUCAGAGUCUCAAAACCUUAAAUUUAGGGCCAACCACUAUAUAAGGAACACACUGGUUCUCACCCUAGCCUCCAUAAACACUCUCUCCUCCUUAGAAGCCCUAGAUAGUCGUUCCACUUCCUUUGUUGGUUGUGUUUGACCUUGGAAAGCUAGUUUUGGCAAAGGAGAGCCAAGAAGAAGAAAGAGGAAGUUGUCAAAGAAGGAGUGGGGUGGCUGAAGCUCGUGGAUCUGAAAUGGGAUCAUCUUCUAGAGCCCUUUUGAGUUCGGGAUUUUUGGUGAGUCGGUGAUUCGGGAGUCUGCUUUUCAGUUCAGAGUUUCGGCAGUUGCGAGGUACUUCAGGAGACCGUGGCAAGGCAAAGGCGUGAUCAUACCGCUCCUCAUGAUUAUGUUUUAUGACAUGGUUCUGGGAAGACUCUGAUAAAUAAUUGUAUUAAAAACUUUUUUUGUAAUAACUUAAUGAAACUAGGUUGUUUUUGAAAAGUUUAAAUUGGUUGAAAUUUUUAUGGUCGUUACAUGCUGGCAGCGGGAAAAUUAGACAGAUUUUCCAUCCAGGCGUCCCAACCCUCGCAACCAACAAAGAUAGGCCAAUGUCGCUUAAUUCCACAUCCCCUCCACUAUGAUUGAUCCUUCCUAGUAUUUUGAUACAGGCGCAACAGACCACGUGUCUCCUGAUAUUCAAAAACUCAAUUGCUGAAGAAUACAAGGGGGAUGACAAGCUCCAAGUGGGAAACGGGGCAAACAAUUAACAGAGGGAAUGUACAUGAAGGGCUCUAUUAGUUACCUCUUCCUCGUAAUAAAGUUGCAUUCACCGGUGUUCGUACCUCUCUUCAUGGAUGGCACAGGCGACUUGCACAUCCACAUGAACCUAUGUUACGUCGUUUAGUUUCAACAUUUCAUCUUCCAACUUCUUCCAAUAAAUCUCCCAAUGUAUGUGACUCUUGUCAAUUGGGUAAAAGUCAUCGUUUUCACUUACCACCAUCUCAUGUCACCUCUUCUCAACCUUUUGAACUUGUGUACUCAGAUGUAUGGGGUCCUUCCCCUGUUUUUUCAUUAAAUGGAUCACGAUAUUUUGUUUUGUU